UACGGAGGAGGCAAGCGUUAUCCGGAAUUAUUGGGCGUAAAGCGUCCGCAGGUGGCGAUUCAAGUCUGCGGUUAAAGACUGGGGCUUAACCCUGGAAAGGCCGUGGAAACUGAAACGCUAGAGUGCAGUAGGGGUAGAGGGAAUUCCCGGUGUAGCGGUGAAAUGCGUAGAGCUCGGGAAGAACAUCGGUGGCGAAAGCGCUCUACUGGACUGCAACUGACACUCAGGGACGAAAGCUAGGGGAGCGAAUGGG
rnacentral:rRNA from 1 species